UAGGGAAUCUUCCGCAAUGGGCGAAAGCCUGACGGAGCAACGCCGCGUGAGUGAUGAAGGUCUUCGGAUCGUAAAACUCUGUUAUUAGGGAAGAACAAAUGUGUAAGUAACUAUGCACAUCUUGACGGUACCUAAUCAGAAAGCCACGGCUAACUACGUGCCAGCAGCCGCGGUAAUACGUAGGUGGCAAGCGUUAUCCGGAAUUAUUGGGCGUAAAGCGCGCGUAGGCGUUUUUUUAAGUCUGAUGUGAAAGCCCACGGCUCAACCGUGGAGGGUCAUUGGAAACUGGAAAACUUGAGUGCAGAAGAGGAAAGUGGAAUUCCAUGUGUAGCGGUGAAAUGCGCAGAGAUAUGGAGGAACACCAGUGGCGAAGGCGACUUUCUGGUCUGUAACUGACGCUGAUGUGCGAAAGCGUGGGGAUCAAACAGG
rnacentral:rRNA from 1 species